UCGUGAUCCGGGUCGAGGACGCCGGCCACGGCAUUCCCGAUGCCAUGCGCCAGCGGCUGUUCGACCCGUUCAUCACCAGC
rnacentral:tRNA from 1 species